UACAGUCUUCUCUCUUUAAUUUUCUCUCUCUCAGCCUCUCUUUGAACCAAGGGAUUCAAAUCUAAAUUUAUCUCUUUCUUGAGGAAUUAAGCUAGAAAUGGGAGGGAAUUGGAUAGCAAUAUCUAAGGGCCUCCGUUCAGCAAGCAAUAUUUUCACUCUGAUCAACCGACAUACUUGAUUACAGAGUUAAGGAAUUAAAGUGUAUUUUUGUUGAAAGAAAGAGGAAGGAGCAAAGUUGAAAAGAAAUGAAGAAAAAAAAUGGCAUUUUUGUUGAAGUCCAAAACAACCCAACCCAAAAAGGUCAAGCCUAGCCGAUGAAGCUCAUCAUCAAUUUUGUCUCUUCCAAAGCAUGUGAUGCAAUGAUGAUAAGUCUAGGUCAUCAUCAACCCUAUUUUCCUCUUCCACACUCAACCUUCAUCCAAAGAGUAGAAGACAAAAUCACAAUGAUAACAAAAAUAAUAUUAAUUUUAUUUUUGAUUUGAAAUGUCAAAUUUAAUCCUAAUAUUUAUUUUAUAAUCCCAAAUUUUUAUUUAUUUAUUUUUUAGUCCUUUUAUGGCUUUAUAAAUAGGAGCUUAUUUUAGUAAUUUUUAGUGUAGAAAAACUAUAGCAAAAUUCUCUCAACUUUUCUUCUCAUCUUUUCUCUUUAGAAAUUUUAUGAGAAUGAUUAACAUAAUGACCUAAUCUUCCUUGGAAGGUUAGGGAUGAUUCCAUAUGCAAAGUGAGGUUAUUUUGUAUCUUUGAUUCACUUUUUGUUGUAAUAUUUAUUUGAGUAAUGCAAGUUCAUAUUCCACUUUUAUUUU